rnacentral:lncRNA from 1 species
GAAAGAAAUGAGAAAUAACUGAAGUAAUGAAAUUACCUCCUGUGUAGUGGCUUUUAAAUAGGCUCUGAAACCUUUCUCCAAAUGUAACUCAAAUAUUGAAUCACGGGGAACUGUUUCCCUCCCCAAAAGGCUAGCUUCUCCAACGUCCGUAAAGUUCAGUGCAUGGCCACUUAGUCCAACUUCCCUCUCACUGCAGACAUCUUUCUGAUGCAGUCAACCACCCUGCACCUCCGUGUGUGUCUCCAGCCUUGUGGUCUGUCUACAUCUUGUUAUUGCACGGCAAGAACAAGCAGUUGGACCUCAUUCAUCAGGGACCACCACCACUGUGUUCGACACCUUGGGCUAGGGAAGAAUGCUGAAUGUGUUCAUGAUUUGUCUGGGUACUCCUCCCAG